rnacentral:rRNA from 1 species
AUUGAACGCUGGCGGCAGGCCUAACACAUGCAAGUCGAGCGGUAGAGAGGUGCUUGCAUCUCUUGAGAGCGGCGGACGGGUGAGUAAUGCCUAGGAAUCUGCCUAGUGGUGGGGGAUAACGUUCGGAAACGGACGCUAAUACCGCAUACGUCCUACGGGAGAAAGCGGGGGAUCUUCGGACCUCGCGCCAUUAGAUGAGCCUAGGUCGGAUUAGCUAGUUGGUGAGGUAAUGGCUCACCAAGGCGACGAUCCGUAACUGGUCUGAGAGGAUGAUCAGUCACACUGGAACUGAGACACGGUCCAGACUCCUACGGGAGGCAGCAGUGGGGAAUAUUGGACAAUGGGCGAAAGCCUGAUCCAGCCAUGCCGCGUGUGUGAAG